GACGAACGCUGGCGGCGUGCCUAAUACAUGCCAGUAGAACGCUGAAGGAGGAGCUUGCUUCUCCGGAUGAGUUGCGAACGGGUGAGUAACGCGUAGGUAACCUGCCUGGUAGCGGGGGAUAACUAUUGGAAACGAUAGCUAAUACCGCAUAACAGUAGAUAUCGCAUGAUAUCUGCUUGAAAGGUGCAAUUGCAUCACUACCAGAUGGACCUGCGUUGUAUUAGCUAGUUGGUGAGGUAACGGCUCACCAAGGCGACGAUACAUAGCCGACCUGAGAGGGUGAUCGGCCACACUGGGACUGAGACACGGCCCAGACUCCUACGGGAGGCAGCAGUAGGGAAUCUUCGGCAAUGGACGGAAGUCUGACCGAGCAACGCCGCGUGAGUGAAGAAGGUUUUCGGAUCGUAAAGCUCUGUUGUAAGAGAAGAACGAGUGUGAGAGUGGAAAGUUCACACUGUGACGGUAUCUUACCAGAAAGGGACGGCUAACUACGUG
rnacentral:rRNA from 1 species